rnacentral:rRNA from 1 species
AUUGAACGCUGGCGGCAGGCCUAACACAUGCAAGUCGAACGAGUGGCGGAUGGGUGAGUAAUGUCUGGGAAACUUCUCGAUGGCGGGGGAUAACUACUGGAAACGGUAGCUAAUACCGCAUACCAUCGGAUGUGCCUAGAUGGGAUUAGCUUGUAGGUGAGGUAACGGCUCACCUAGGCGACGAUCCCUAGCUGGUCUGCGCGGGUGACCAGCCACACUGGAACGGAGACACGGGCCAGACUCGUACGGGGGGCAGCAGUGGGGAAUAUUGGAAAAUGGGCGCAAGCCUGAUGCAGCCAUGCAGCGUGUAUGAAGAAGGCCUUCGGGUUGUAAAGUACUUUCAGCGGGGAGGCGUGACCCGCAGAAGAAGCACCGGCUAACUCCGUGCCAGCAGCCGCGGUAAUUC